CGACAAUUACAGAGCGGCCAAAGCGAUCAGACUACAAAUCUGACGGCUCUGCCUUCGAAGGUUCGAAUCCUUCUCCCUCAACCA
rnacentral:tRNA from 1 species